UUGUUCUUGUCUUUUUUUUUUUUUUUUUUUUUUUUUUCCUGAAUCAUGUGGACAUCUCUGAGAAUGAGAGGACGCAGUGGCGUUACAGUGGCUGCUUUCUAAGUUUCAAAGUGACUUUCCAGGCAAGCUGUGUACGUCUUGGGGAUCUUCACAGCACAGUGGCUGGAAAGGAGGAGCCCCGUCCAUCAGAGUCUCCCUGGAAGGCUACUUGGCACAAGUUCAAGUGAGCCCACAGUUGCUGUCUUCAGAGUCGAAGAGAGGAGAGGUCACUAGAGGCUCUGCACCUCCAUGGACUGGAAUUCCCACCAGUGGCUUUGCUUGAGAAUAACUGGGAGCUGAAACAGGAAACCCCAUGACACAGUUGAUCGAAAAUGACACAGACACAGAAAAACCAGGACGUGCCCCCAGCAGCUCCUCUACCUGCUGAUCGCAGCUGGAGGCAGGUGCAGGGUUUCCCUCUGGGAAUGGACUGUAACUUCUGGGGGCGCUCUGGUGGACCCCCAUACCCGCUGCUGAUGGGCCUGCAGUAUUUUGGUGAUGGUCAUCUUUGGUUGGUCUCUCAUUUUUCGGGCCCUCUCUCAUGUCUUAAUCCUUCCUUCAUUAAAAGCAAAACUAAAGAAAA